rnacentral:lncRNA from 1 species
AUCCCAGCUAAGAGCAAAAAGGGCUGAAUUAAAAAGACAAAAAGACCUUCACCAAUCAAAUUGUACUACUGCUCUUACAAUUACCACUUCUUCAUUAGCUCCUCAACAAGGUUAGCUACGCAUAUUCUUAUCUUCCUUCUAUCAAAACUACCUUCUAAAUAUCUAUAGCUAUAGUUACACGCUUGAAAUCACAUACUCUUAAUAGAUUUUUUUUUCUCCUUUUGUAGUUGCAACUUCCAAACCUACAAAUGGACCAUCUACUUCAACUACAACAGAACAUAUAGUUAGUUGCUUAUCUACCUUCAAACUCGGUCAGUUCACAGAUAUUACCCCACCUAUUUUACCUAUAUUAAAAUUUCAUAAUUACGUAGCUAUCUGUAAAUACUUCCAUUUGCUGCAAUAGAUGCAACUUUGACAGUAGCAACAGCCAAAGAUUAUCUGCAUUUCCAAACCACACUCAGUUUACACGUAUGCAUCAAAGUUGGGUGCUUUCAAAUGGCCAUAACUCAUUUGCAAAUGCAUACAAUAUGUCUACUUUAUUUCCCAUAUGCUAUCUUCAGUCUAUUUUACUACUAAUAGUGAAUCAUCAUGACAAUAUUCUUUAUUCUACAUAUAAUUUUCGAAUAUAUAAUCUUUUUUCUUUCGCAUAAUAUUUCCAAUAAUUAACUUCCUUUACUGAUGGUGAGAGACAACCUAACAACGUUAUGCUUUUCCUUUCCAUUCUUUCAAUGAUCAAAACUGUCCAACACAAUAAUAACAAUAGCUUCAUCUUCCGCAGCAACAUAAAGUUGUUUAUAUGGAUAGCUUCAAAUUGUCAAAACAUCUUCUAUUAGAUAACUUCUUUUUCAUUUGUUCUAAAGUACAAUCUUAUAUUUUUAAAGACAACAUAUGAUGUAAUGAUUGUAGGACCAACUACUCAUUAAAUCAAUUGCACAAGUUUUCUAUGCAUACUUCCAUCAAAAUCUUGUAAUACUUAUAUAAUGUUUCUCAUUAGUCCAUACUGCCCUCAUGCUACCAAAGGCCUUUUUUAUUUUACUACCGUUUGUAUUUUUUCCCCACUGCAUUACGUUAUAAAUUAUUUAAACAAAUCAUAAAUUACUUGAAUCAGGAAUAGCAGAAAAAAGAGAUAAUGUGCCAGCCCAAGAACAAACUUCUGCUAGAAAUUUGUCCCGAUGUACUAGAUAUGCACAAAUGUCACCAGAGAGAAAAGAAUUACUUCUAUCCCAGCUAAGAGAAAAAAGGGCUGAAUCAAAAAGACAAAAACUCCUUCAUCAAUCAAAUAGUACUGCUACUCUUACAAGUACCAUUUCUUCAUUCUCUCCUCAGCAAUAUUAGCUAGGCAUAUUCUUUUCUUCCUUCUGUUAAAUCUCUCUUGCAAAUAUGUAAAGCUAUAGUUACACACUUCAACUAACUACAAACCUUGUAGCUGCUUCACCUAUAGCAAAACAUACGGUCAGUUGCUUAUCUAGCUUCGAACUAGG